rnacentral:rRNA from 1 species
GUGUCAGCAGCCGCGGUAAUACGGAGGGGGCUAGCGUUGUUCGGAAUUACUGGGCGUAAAGGGCGUGUAGGCGGAUCUGCCAGUCAGAGGUGAAAGCCCCGGGCUCAACCUGGGAACUGCCUUUGAUACUGCAGAUCUAGAGUCCGGGAGAGGGUCGUGGAAUUCCCAGUGUAGAGGUGAAAUUCGUAGAUAUUGGGAAGAACACCAGUGGCGAAGGCGGCGACCUGGACCGGAACUGACGCUGAGGCGCGAAAGCGUGGGGAGCAAACAGGAUUAGAUACCCUGGUAGUCCACGCCGUAAACGAUGUCAGCUAGUCGUUGGGGAGCAUAGCUCUUCAGUGACGCAGCUAACGCACUAAGCUGACCGCCUGGGGAGUACGGCCGCAAGGUUAAAACUCAAAGGAAUUGACGGGG